rnacentral:sRNA from 3 species
GACUCGAGCGAAGCGAGAGAACGUUGCGUCAGCAACGGCCCGCAGGGCGAGCCACGAAGUGGUGAGUCAUCCUCUAUCACCGACCA